AUCCCAAUGGGGAGCACUUAUU
rnacentral:miRNA from 12 species